rnacentral:rRNA from 1 species
CAUUACAACAGCCAUAGUUUAUUGGAUCUUAGAGUCCUACUUGGAUACCUGUGGUAAUUCUAGAGCUAAUACACGCAAUCAAGCCUCAACCUUACGGGCGGGGCGCAUUUAUUAGAACAAAACCAAUUGGCUUCGGCCAUAGAUUGGUGAAUCUGAAUAACUACGCUGAUCGCACGGGCUUGUCCCGGCGACGUAUCCUUCAAGUGUCUGCCUUAUCAACUUUCGAUGGUAGUUUAUAUGACUACCAUGGUUGUAACGGGUAACGGAGAAUAAGGGUUCGACUCCGGAGAGGGAGCCUGAGAAACGGCUACCACAUCCAAGGAAGGCAGCAGGCGCGCAAAUUACCCACUCUCAGAACGAGGAGGUAGUGACGAAAAAUAACGAGACAGUUCUCUAUGAGGUCUGUCAUCGGAAUGGGUACAAUCUAAACCCUUUAACGAGGAUCUAUUGGAGGGCAAGUCUGGUGCCAGCAGCCGCGGUAAUUCCAGCUCCAAUAGCGUAUAUUAAAGUUGUUGCGGUUAAAAAGCUUGUAGUUGGAUCUGCGGUCACAGACGCUGGUUUCCUUCACGGAAUACUGGUUGUCUUGACCUACCUUGCUGGUUUUCCCUUGGUGCUCUUUACUGAGUGCCUUGGGUGGCUAGCACGUUUACUUUGAAAAAAUUAGAGUGCUUAACGCAGGCUUUUGCCUGAAUAGUGGUGCAUGGAAUAAUGGAAUAGGACCUCGGUUCUAUUUUGUUGGUUUUCGGAGCACGAGGUAAUGAUUAAGAGGGACAGACGGGGGCAU